rnacentral:lncRNA from 1 species
CUUUUUUAUUUAUAGCAGGACACACCUGGCAAUGGAUGUGACAUUCAGCACUGCCCAGGUUUCUUCCACUUGGAGGAGGCAAACUGGUGAAUGGAAGGAGGCAAUCCUCUGGCAGUGGGAUGCUAGGGAGCGAUAAUAAGGCAAGUUGGCUUGCUUGAAGGCCGCUGGUACCCGCGAUUAGAAGCUGGCGGACGUGCCACCCGUGUCCCUUUUAAAAGUUGUACUGUUACUUAGCUCCUUGGCUUGGGGGGGGGUUUCACAUAACUCCAUACCCUCCAACAUUUUUCCAAUGAAAAUAGGGUUUCCCUACCAUACCCUCCAACAUUUCCCUGAUGAAAUUAGCGACGUCCUGAGGAAAAAAUGGGACAUUCCAGGAUCAAAUCAGAAACAGGGAUGGCUUUUGUAAAUCUGGGACUAUCCCUGGAAAAUGGGGACACUUGGAGGGUCUGUUGUAGGAGUGUGGCAUGCGAGAGCAAACAAUUUGCAGGAGCAAAUGAUUAGUCGUAGGCUGAGGGGGGAAUAAAAAAUAGCUACAGAUUUAUUGGUUAUACUUCACAGGCCUGUCAUAAGGGCAGCCUGAUUGAUGCCUGGUGAGAACAACCAUCUCAGUCUGAGUGAGCAAGUAAGUUUGUAGAUGAUUCAUAAACAAACAAAAACAAACAAGGGGACAAUAAAAUACAACUCAUAUUUUAGCCAAAUAUAUGUACAUACACACAUCCACAUGCCAGCAGCCAGCACAGUAGACCAGCUUUCUCCAAUGUGGUGCUUUCCAGAUGUUUUGGACUACAUUUCCCAUAAGCCCUUAGCCAAUUGUAAGGGAUUAUGGGAGUUGUAGUUAAAACUUGUUGGGGAAGCUGUGUCCAGUGACUUGAAUCAACAGCACAACAUCACCUCCAAUGUAACAUUGCCAAUAUCUGGUCAGGCCAAUCACUUGGUAGAGUCACUGGAAGCCUCCUGACAGGAAGGAGACAAAGUCCCUUCCUGUCUGACAUUUAAGCUACUUUAAGAGCCUGAAUGUAGUCUGCUUGGGGUUGUUGAAGUACAAGCUAGCAAAUGUGACAAUUGUUGCAGGAUUGAACUCAAAAGCAGCCUCCUCUGUUCUCCACUCAAGUUCAUGUAGACUUUUUCAUUACAUAAUUUCUCAGACUUUCUUUUCCGCCCACUAGAGUUGCUUUUGGGUCUUUGAACUCCCUUGCCUCCUUAUUUAACAGACACAAGAAGUGAUAUUAUUCACAUGAAGUACCUCAGCUCUCAUCAUAAUUUGGAUAAUUAUGAUAAUCUGUUUCCCUGCUUUCCCCUUGAAAAACAAAACAUUGACUUUUAGCCCCAAAUGUCCCCAAUCUCAUGUACCUCUUCAAUGAAUGUGCAGCAAAUAUUCACAAUCUUUGACAUACAUGCUUUAAUGCUGCCAGAUAACAAAUUUUCUUCCUCCUUCCUCUCACUCAGUAUCCUGUAAUGAUAUCUUGGUAGGUGGAACCCGCUGAACCAGCCAUUAACAAGUCAGGAACCAAAAAGAGGCAUCUAGGGGGACUUCCGGGUUGGCGCCACCAGCAAUGGCGGAAUUCCUCUGAUCGGGAGGAAUUUGCCUCGUGGAAAUUCGGGUCUGGCCGCCACGGCGAAGGCGGAGACCCACUAAAAAUCACAGGCGGGUGAAGCCUGUGAACGUGGGAUUCGGCGGGCACCUUUUGCGCCUCCCCUACUCGCAGGGAAACCCGGUUUCAGGGAUCCGGAGCGACGGGGGGUGGGCGGCGCGGUGCUCCAGAUUGACUGCUUUUUCCACGGAGCAAAGCCGCAUAGCUGUUGCCGGAGAGCGCUGACUUUUUCCUGUGGACAAUUUGAUCUUAAAGCAACUACCCGUGAGUAGAGUGAAGAAUUGGAUUUUUAAACGUCUUAAUUUGGCACCGAAACGGGGAGGCUCAAAACAGGAAGUCCACCUCCCCUUUUUGUAAAUAAGACUGAGGCAAAGAGGUUGCAAGCUAAAGUCUUGGAAAGCCUAUUGUAAAGGACUAAAUUCUCAUCAGUAAAAAAUAUUAAACCCCCCUUGGAAGCAGGAGAAGAGGGGGGAGGCUUUGGAUUGUGUAUCCCUGCAGGAGUGAGUGAAGGAAGUUAAAAUACCACCGUUCCGAACCUGGAAACGGGCUGCUAGUAAGACCGACGUGUCUUGGAAGGUUCAUUGACAGCGAAUAGAAUGUUCGGUGACAGCUAGCAUAAGAGAGAUACAUUGUUUCCAUUGUCUUCGUCUGCACUUAUAAAGGAGUAAAAGUAAUGGAAAACUGAAACAACUUUAUUGAACUUUAUUAAAAAAGGAGGAAAGUAACUGAAAAUUGAAACUAACUUUGGAUUAUUGAAACUGUGUUUAAAAGAGGACAUACUGACCGAUACAAAUACAACUCGCUUUCCCCUAGUGGAAGCUUUUGAAAUUGGUUACUUUAUAGGAGCUGGGCUAGGGGAAUUUCCAGAUGCAAGAUAAAAAAGUGUGAGACUUUGGAAUUGACCUUGAAUCUCUUAAGUGUUAUGGCAAACGGAAAGGAAAAAACAGACGGGAUGUCGACAGAGGAGGCCUUAGUGGCUGCAUUAUUGAAAAUAAACGAUUCGCUGGAACAACUCCACAAGAAAACAGAUGCGAUAAAUGUGAAAUUGGAUGUUGCAAAUAUUGAAAUUGAUUCAACUGUAGAAAUUUUAAAUAACUUGGGACAAAAGGUGAAUACCAAUUCAGAAACCACCCAGAAACUGACACAGGAAUCUACUUCGAUAUGGCAAACUGCAGAUGAAGUCAGGGGAAAAACCCUUGCUGCUGAAUCUAAAGCAAUACAACAGGAGAGGAGAGUCCCAUCCAUACAAAGACAACUUGACGAGCAUAAGUUGACAUUCGUUAUGAUUGAACUUAAAGAAGAACGGAUGAAUUUGAGGACCAGAGCCCUAUCUGAAUUGGAAAAGGAAAGCUUGACAGAGUUUCAGGAGGCGAUACUAACAUUGGUUGAGAAAGAGAGGUAUUUGGGGGUUAGUAUGACCGCCAAAAAUGUGAAUCUGCUUAAGGAUAACUGUGAAGGAUGUUGGAUUGAAGAGAAGGGGGAUUUGGAAAUAUGGACAAAUCAGAAGUUGUUACUGUUGGGCCAAGUUAUUGUGGUGGGGAUGAGGGCUGCUGUUUUGCUGGGGAUGUUGCUUUUGUUUCAAACAUUGCAAGCUUUGGAUGGGAUGGAGGGUCUCAGGAGGUGGCAGAGGGAUGCUCCCAGAGUUGUUUGGCAGGGCAGGAAGCCUCGAGUAAAAUUUAAGAUAUUGAUGGAUGCCAAAGAAGGAGGGGGACCUGCCCUGCCAGACCUUUAAACUUUGCUGUGAACCAUCUGCUUUUUGCUGGUUGAGAGAAUGGUUGCCUUUUGAAAACACUGAAGCGUUGGACAAUGGCAGAUGAAGUUGAUGGACUAUAUGGAAUUGGCGGAAAUGACUGGCAAGAUCCGAGACCAGGGUGAAGAGUCGGUGGAAGAAGAUUGGAAAAAGUUUAAAGACUAUUUAUAGAAAUAUUGUAAAAUUAAGGAAUGUUAGAAAAAUGUUGGAAUGAAAAUAUAUGGCUUUAGCAGAAAUGUCAUAAGGAAUUAAGUAUAAAUAGAUCAAUAGAAAAUUAAAGGAAAAGUAUGGCAAGAAUGUGUUAAGAUAAUUAUAGAACAGAAAACAGAGUAAGAUGGAAAGCAAUUGCUGAAACAAAUAAUAGAAGUGGAGUACAAAAAGGUAGGUGGGAGGAGGUCGCUGGAAAUAAGUGAAUGAAAUAUAAGAUAUUGAAAAUGUUUGAGGUGUUUUUAAAUUGUUUUUGCUUGUUUUUGUUUGUUUUGUUAGUCCAUGUAGCGUUUUUGUAUUGUAUUUGCAUUGUUUUUUCUUUUUUUUCCUUUCUCUUUUUUUGUUUGUAAUGUUGUGUUGGAAAUGUUGAAAAAGUAAUAAAUAUCAUUUUUAAAAAACAAAAAAACAAAAAGAGGCAUCCAGAGUGGACCUGUUUCGUUAACUGGAGAAGAAAUGGCUUUGCAGAUGUCACCGAAGCUGGAUAUGGGUUAAGGAAAACUAUCACUGUCUUCUUCUAAUUAGCAGGUGAGGAACUUUUUAUUCUUUCAUUGGUAGCUAACCAUUUCCUUGAAGGACAUAUUGUAUUAGUGUGAAAUCCAAAUAAAGAACCAAAGUACUGUUUAGUUAAAAUAGAUAAUCCAUCCUUCCAUUCUGCAAAAGCAUAUUGUGACUUGAGUGUGAUCCAGUACUUUGGGUUAGAGAAGGCAUAGGCUUGGACUGGGCAAUGGCCUGGCAUGGGGGGGGCGGUGCCACACGGGCAAGGUGCAAAAAUGUUAGGGGGUGCAAAAUUUCAACCACCCGGUGCUGCCUCAAUACAACUGUCCACUUUUGUUGCUGGGCUCUGUUGAAAAUGGCUUCUCUACGCAAACCAGGAAGUGAUCUCUCCAGACAACAGAAUGAUUCUUCUUUUCUUAUCUCUGUGGCUGCCCACAAGCUGCCCCCAAACCGAGCCGCCCGCUUGGUGAGUCCCCUGCAUGCUGUGCUAAACCAGCGCGGCACAGGGACUCACUGAGCGGCGCCGGAAAUCGCAUCUGCGCAUGUCCAGACACCGAAAAUCACUUCUGCACAGGCGUGAUUUCCAGUGUCUGGGCAUGUGCAGAAGCCAUUUCCGGCAUCGCGCUGCGCCAGUCCGGCCCACGGACGAUCUCCAUGGGAGUGAUCCAGACCAUGGCCGCUAAACCUUGCCGACCCCUGAUCUAGAAGGCCACAUAAACCUGAUUGCAGCCAGUUCUAGCAAGCAAUCCAAGGAAAAGUCUUGGCUGUGUUGCAGCAGACAGUUAAAGUGGAAUAAAUCCACAGUUAAUUAGAAAGACUGCCCCCUUGCUUAAUCAAUCUGAGCAAAGCUGAAAUAGUAAACAAACACCCUGUUCUUAGCACAUUUAUUUUGAAGUUAACUCCCAUUGAUUUCAGUGCAUCAAACUUCCAGGUUUGUGUGCUUAAGACUGCAGCUUAAGUACGAAUUGUUCAAGGGUAAUGACUUCCUUUUGGUUUAAAACUUUUUGCUGUUAAUCUUUGGGUAUUAUUGUUGCUGUCAGAACUGAUAGUUCUCUUUUUCCAGCUGUAACUUUACAAUUUGAUUAGGAACAAGAGGCAGUGUUGUCAUAUUGAUUUGCUUAUAGCAAUAACAGCUUCUCCUCAGAAGUUUUUUCUCUCUCUUCAUCACAGGGUGUUCUGUGUCUUCACAAGGUCACUGCACAGAAGCAUCUCCACAGUUAAGCUGCAAUUGCCAACAUAAACAGCAGAACUGCCGGAUUCAGAUGGAAUAUUCUAGAAUUAUAAUCAGUAUUUUGUACUCCAGAAUAUUAACAUCCACAUUACGUUACAGAAACUUCAGGCUCUUUUGAGCAACAAAAGAUAAGCUUGCAUUUUGUAAGUGAUAUUCAUACAUCGCAUUGCAUGUUUGAUUGGGUGUAGACUUUACUGAAAGAAAGGCAAUGACGAAUGGAAAUCUUUCUUCUUUGUUUUAGCUACUUAUUCUUGGUACAGUACUCUCACUCUUUAGCAAAGUUCUCGGUUCUUGACGGUAUGUCUGUAUUCUCCAUGUAUGUCUCAUUCAUGCUGGAGUCUCGGUUCCUGAGAGUCUGGUUUUCAUUAUUUACAAAAGAAAGCUUUAGGUUUCAUGGCUGUGUCUACCAGUUUUACAACAUGCAUGCAUUCCAGAG